rnacentral:rRNA from 1 species
UUGAACGCUGGCGGCAGGCCUAACACAUGCAAGUCGAGCGGUAGCACAGAGAGCUUGCUCUCGGGUGACGAGCGGCGGACGGGUGAGUAAUGUCUGGGAAACUGCCUGAUGGAGGGGGAUAACUACUGGAAACGGUAGCUAAUACCGCAUAACGUCGCAAGACCAAAGUGGGGGACCUUCGGGCCUCAUGCCAUCAGAUGUGCCCAGAUGGGAUUAGCUAGUAGGUGGGGUAACGGCUCACCUAGGCGACGAUCCCUAGCUGGUCUGAGAGGAUGACCAGCCACACUGGAACUGAGACACGGUCCAGACUCCUACGGGAGGCAGCAGUGGGGAAUAUUGCACAAUGGGCGCAAGCCUGAUGCAGCCAUGCCGCGUGUGUGAAGAAGGCCUUCGGGUUGUAAAGCACUUUCAGCGGGGAGGAAGGCGGUGAGGUUAAUAACCUCACCGAUUGACGUUACCCGCAGAAGAAGCACCGGCUAACUCCGUGCCAGCAGCCGCGGUAAUACGGAGGGUGCAAGCGUUAAUCGGAAUUACUGGGCGUAAAGCGCACGCAGGCGGUCUGUCAAGUCGGAUGUGAAAUCCCCGGGCUCAACCUGGGAACUGCAUUCGAAACUGGCAGGCUAGAGUCUUGUAGAGGGGGGUAGAAUUCCAGGUGUAGCGGUGAAAUGCGUAGAGAUCUGGAGGAAUACCGGUGGCGAAGGCGGCCCCCUGGACAAAGACUGACGCUCAGGUGCGAAAGCGUGGGGAGCAAACAGGAUUAGAUACCCUGGUAGUCCACGCCGUAAACGAUGUCGAUUUGGAGGUUGUGCCCUUGAGGCGUGGCUUCCGGAGCUAACGCGUUAAAUCGACCGCCUGGGGAGUACGGCCGCAAGGUUAAAACUCAAAUGAAUUGACGGGGGCCCGCACAAGCGGUGGAGCAUGUGGUUUAAUUCGAUGCGACGCGAAGAACCUUACCUGGUCUUGACAUCCACAGAACUUUCCAGAGAUGGAUUGGUGCCUUCGGGAACUGUGAGACAGGUGCUGCAUGGCUGUCGUCAGCUCGUGUUGUGAAAUGUUGGGUUAAGUCCCGCAACGAGCGCAACCCUUAUCCUUUGUUGCCAGCGGUUAGGCCGGGAACUCAAAGGAGACUGCCAGUGAUAAACUGGAGGAAGGUGGGGAUGACGUCAAGUCAUCAUGGCCCUUACGACCAGGGCUACACACGUGCUACAAUGGCAUAUACAAAGAGAAGCGACCUCGCGAGAGCAAGCGGACCUCAUAAAGUAUGUCGUAGUCCGGAUUGGAGUCUGCAACUCGACUCCAUGAAGUCGGAAUCGCUAGUAAUCGUAGAUCAGAAUGCUACGGUGAAUACGUUCCCGGGCCUUGUACACACCGCCCGUCACACCAUGGGAGUGGGUUGCAAAAGAAGUAGGUAGCUUAACCUUCGGGAGGGCGCUUACCACUUUGUGAUUCAUGACUGGGGUG